GGGCCGGUAGUCUAGCCUGGAAGGACGCCCGCCUUGCGCGCGGGAGAUCCCGGGUUCAAGUCCCGGCCGGUCCACCA
rnacentral:tRNA from 1 species